rnacentral:misc_RNA from 1 species
GUAGGUGAACCUGCGGAAGGAUCAUUAUUGAAUGAACUUGGCUUGGUUGCUGCUGGUCUUUUCGAAGACAUGUGCACGCCAUGUCAUCUUUAUAUCUCCACCUGUGCACCUUUUGUAGACCUGGAUUCAAUUUUCCGAGGUAACUCGGUCGUGAGGAACUGCUUAACGGCUUUCCUUGUUAGUUUCCAGGCCUAUGUUUUCAUAUACACCAUACGAAUGGAACAGAAUGUCAUUAUUAGGCUUAAUUGUCUUAUAAACUAUAUACAACUUUCAGCAACGGAUCUCUUGGCUCUC